CACCCAGGGGCCUCUUGCUUUAAAGGUUUCCUCCUCCUCCUCGCUGGCCCCAACUCACCAUGUGAGGGUACUUCUCAGGGUCUGUGACACUGAUGUCGGUUAGUUUGAUAUUGAGGUACUACGAAAGAGGAACACCAUCAUUAACCCUAGAGACAAGAUGCGGGAAUCCACCUCCACUCUCCCAUUGUUCCCCAAGUACAGACUGUGAGCCUUCACUACAUCUCACCUGGUCCACAGAGUGGAGGGUUCCACAGAUGCUGUCAAGGGCAAAAAGGGAAGAACCAAAUUAACUUACACUGAAAUCAGCAUGGAGGGAACAUCAGAGCUAAAACAAGAAUGUGGGGGAGAAGUCAAGGCCGUGAAGCAGAGAAGGGAGAGCCACGGACGGCAUCUGUGAACUCUGAACUGGAAAGACAGGGUUUCUCUGUGUAGACCUGUCUAUCCUGGAACUCACUCUGUAGUGGCCUUGAACUCACAGAGAUCCACCUGCCUCUGCCUCCUGAGUGCUAGGAUUAAAGGCGUGAGCCACCAUGCCCAGCAAUCUUAAACUAAUCUUUACCCUUCA